rnacentral:rRNA from 1 species
UACGUAGGGGGCUAGCGUUGUCCGGAAUCAUUGGGCGUAAAGCGCGCGUAGGCGGCCCGGUAAGUCCGCUGUGAAAGUCAAAGGCUCAACCUUUGAAUGUCAGCGGAUACUGCCAGGCUAGAGUCCGGAAGAGGCGAGUGGAACUCCUGGUGUAGCGGUGGAAUGCGCAGAUAUCAGGAAGAACACCAGCGGCGAAGGCAGCUCGCUGGGACGGUACUGACGCUGAGACGCGAAAGCGUGGGGAGCGAACAGG